rnacentral:misc_RNA from 1 species
AACGCACAUUGCGCCCGCCAGUAUUCUGGCGGGCAUGCCUGUUCGAGCGUCAUUUCAACCCUCAAGCCCAGCUUGGUGUUGGGGAUCGGCACAAGGGAGCCCCCGGGCGCCCCCGCCGUCCCCUAAAUCUAGUGGCGGUCCCGCUGCAGCCACCUCUGCGUAGUAGUUUUCUCCUCGCAAGGGCAGCUCGGCGGCGACCUCGCCGUAAAACCCCCAACUUCUGAAAGUUUGACCUCGAAUCAGGUAGGAAUACCCGCUGAACUUAA